rnacentral:RNase_P_RNA from 1 species
AAAGUCUAGGCCCUUGCAAAUGAGCGCAGUGGCGUCACCAACAUUGUGUUAUCGCCGCUUGGAUAAAUGAGUGAGACUUCUGGUCUCGUUAACCCUGAAAAAGGAUGAUAAAAGCUCACUGUCCCAGUUCUUGCUCGAGGAUAAGGCAAAAUACAACAUCGUUGUCGCUUAGCCUCCUAUUUCAGAGUGAUUGCCGCGAAGUGAAAACUCACUUAACUAAACCUAGCUUACCGCU